AUUAAAACAUCUGUUAUUUCAAUGCAAAAUUUGUCACUAAUGUCUCCAGGUACAUUGUGUGUUUCAUUGCUAUUAAACUGUUUAUUCUGUAGGAUUUGAGUAAGGGAGGGAAUUCAGAGAUAAUUUGCUUAACACCACCCUAGGAAAUUUCAGUGCAGACAAGGUAAAUUAUUACCCAUAAAGGCCUGCUUGUUGAAAUUGAAGCCAAUUUUCCAAAAUACAGCCCACUGUUCCUCUUCUGUAACUGACUAAAAGAUAUGCAGGAACUAUAUUUAGACAUUACGGCCUCCUUUGUUACUUAGGACUGUUUAGAGAGAGAAAUAAGUUCAGCAAUCACAAAAUCUAUAGCACACUGAAAUCAUGGAAUGAAAAGUAGGAAUACAGUGAUUUCUCUCAUUCUUAGGAGUGCAUUUUGUCUGAGUUAUGCUUGUAUUGUCUGUUUAUACUUGCAGUGACUCCUUUCAAGAAAAGCAGAUAAAAUAAGAAUCCUAGAUGUAUAGAUUUUUGAGGGGAAGAACUAUAGUGAUCAUUUAGUCCAAUCACAUUUAAUCAACUUUUUUUGCUGCUUAGUACUUCAUCGGGAUUUCUCAUCCAGAACAAGAAACUCAGCACAACCACAGCUGAAUCAGUUUAGAUUUCUUUCUUGCUUUUUCACAUUUGCAAGAGUAAGACAAAAGAAUUCGUGUAGACUGACUGAAUAAAAUAGUAGAAAUAACAGUAAGAGACAGUAUGGUAUAGUAAGUAAGAGCAAAGAUUCUAGAAUAAGGUUGACUGGGUUUGAUUAUUUGUUAUCAAUUAGCUGGUGCAUCUGGGAAAGUUACUUCAUCUCUUUCUCUGUACCUCGGUUUUGACAUAUGUAAAAGUGGGGAUAGUGAUAGUACUUGCCUCAUAUGGUUGUUAGCAGAAUUCAAUGAGUCAACAUAUACAAAAUACUUAGCUUGUUAUAUAGGAAAUGCUUUAUGAGUACAAAAGUUACCAAACAUAAUUUGAUAGAGGUUACAAGAAUGGGAGAGGAAGCAUCAGGAUGUCUCCAUAGAGGAACAGAAUAGAAUGGCACAGUACAAGAGAGAGACAUACUCAAUGACCUGUUAGACGAGGAGUAGACCUGGUCUUCUUAGUGUAGUGAACUGCCUGAAGAUCGCCAAGAAGAGGAGUCUUUGAAUAAAUGCCUCUCUUAUUGUGUCCUGGGUAAACUGACUGUAGAAGGCCGAAUAGUGGCCCCCAGUGAUGCUGACAUCCUAAUCUCCAGAACCUGUGAAUGUGGUACCUUACAUGGCAAAGGGGAGUUUGCAGAUGUGAUUAAGGUAUGGAAUUUGACAUGGGGGAGAUUAUCCUGGUGGAUUAUCUGGGUGGGCCAAAUCUAAUCACCAGAUUCCUUAAAAGCAGAGACCCUUGUCAUGCCAUGGUAAGGGAAUGAAAUAUAGUGAUAAAAGAAGAAUCAGAGAGAUGCUAUGCUUCUGAAUUUAAAGAUGAAAGAGGAUGCCCUGAGGUAAGGAAUUCAGACACCCUCUAGAAUCUGGAAAAGGCAAGGAUUAUUUCCUAGUCUCCAGAAAGGAACACAACCCUGCCAACACCUUGACCUUAGGUCGGUGAGACCCAUGUCAAACUUCUAGCCUGCAGAACUGCAU
rnacentral:lncRNA from 1 species